rnacentral:rRNA from 1 species
UACGAAGGGGGCUAGCGUUGUUCGGAUUUACUGGGCGUAAAGCGCACGUAGGCGGGUCGUUUAAGUCGGGGGGUGAAAUCCUGGAGCUCAACUCCAGAACUGCCUUCGAUACUGGCGACCUAGAGUCCGGAAGAGGUGAGUGGAACUCCUAGUGUAGAGGUGGAAUUCGUAGAUAUUAGGAAGAACACCAGUGGCGAAGGCGGCUCCACUUGGGUCCGGGACUGACGCUGAGGUGCGAAAGCGUGGGGAGCAAACAGG